UUCCAGACUCCUACGGGAGGCAGCAGUGGGGGAUAUUGCACAAUGGGGGGAACCCUGAUGCAGCGACGCCGCGUGGGUGAAGAAGUAUUUCGGUAUGUAAAGCCCUAUCGGCAGGGAAGAAAUUGGACGGUACCUGACUAAGAAGCCCUGACUAACUACGUGCCAGCAGCCGCGGUAAUACGUAGGGGGCAAGCGUUAUCCGGAUUCACUGGGUGUAAAGGGAGCGUAGACGGCCAUGCAAGCCUGGAGUGAAAGCCCGGGGCCCAACCCCGGGACUGCUCUGGGAACUGUGCGGCUGGAGUGCGGGAGGGGCAGACGGAAUUCCUGGUGUAGCGGUGAAAUGCGUAGAUAUCAGGAGGAACACCGGCGGCGAAGGCGGCCUGCUGGACCGCGACUGACGUUGAGGCUCGAAAGCGUGGGGAGCAAACAGGAUUAGAUACCCGAGUA
rnacentral:rRNA from 1 species